GAUGAAGAACGCAGCGAAAUGCGAUAAGUAAUGCGAAUUGCAGAAUUCCAGUGAGUCAUCGAAUCUUUGAACGCACAUUGCGCCCUUUGGUAUUCCGAAGGGCAUGCCUGUUCGAGCGUCAUUAUCAUCCCUCAAGCCCUCGGCUUGGUGUUGGACGGUUUGGUGGAGGCCCCCUCGGGGGCUCCUGCCCCUCCCAAAGACAAUGACGGCGGCCUCGUUGGACCCCCGGUACACUGAGUUCUUCACGGGACACGUAUCGGACACAUGGGUUUACGGGACACGGUCUGCCUCCCCUCAGGGAGAAUCUUUCUAAGGUUGACCUCGGAUCAGGUAGGGAUACCCGCUGAACUUAAGCAUAUCAAUAAGCGGAGGA
rnacentral:misc_RNA from 1 species